GAUGAACGCUGGCGGCGUGCUUAACACAUGCAAGUCGAACGAGGUGGCGAAAGGGUGAGUAAUAGGUGGAUAACGUGCUCUCCGUUUUGGGAUAAGCCUUGGAAACGGGGUCUAAUAACGAAUAAAGGGGGAUGGGCUCGCGGUCGAUGCGCUUGUGGGUGGGGUGCUGGCCUCCCACGGCGGUGACGGGGAGCCGGGCUGAGAGGGCGCCGUGCCACAGUGGGACGGGGACGCGGCCUAUACUCCGACGGGGGGCAGCAGUUGGGGCUAUUGCACAAGGGGCGAAAGCCGCAUGCAGCGACGCCGCGUGGGGGAGGAAGGCUGUCGGGUUGUAAACGUCUUGCGCUAUCGAACGGUUAGGUGGAGAAGAAGCGCCGGCUAACUACGUGCCAGCAGCCGCGGUAAUUC
rnacentral:rRNA from 1 species